rnacentral:lncRNA from 1 species
AGGCAGUAAGGGGGUCUCGGGGUCUGGAGAUGUGCCUGGGCACAGUGGCUUAUAUAUGUGUACAGAUGUGUUGAACUGAGUAUUUAAAAUGGCACUUGAAUAAAUGCAUAGAUGAAGCUAUGUCCUCUUUCUGUCUGUUGGCAUUACAGAAAUGCCAAAACUUUGCAAUAAUCCUUAAAGUCCAUGAAGAACAAAAAACAAAAUAAAAGGCAAUAUGAUACAUUUCAAACUCAACAAAUUGUUAGCCUAAUAUUCAUUUAAUUCACUGGUGACUUUUACUAUGGACAGAACUACUACUCUGGAUAGCAAUACUUGGGGGUAAGCAAGUGGGAGAAAGGUUUAAUGUAUACUAAUCCAGACAUACACUUUGAAUUCAAAGACUUGGAUCUGAAUUCUAGUUGCCAUUUUACCUUGAUGUUAGUUUCCUUCCUUAUCUCUUCUUCACAAUUUGUUCCUUCUACCCUGAGAUACACAGAUAAAAUACAUUCCACCAUUUUGCUAACCGAGCAUUUCAGACACAAAGAGAAAAAGGACUUGCCAAGGGGAAGCUGAAAAAAGAUAAUGCAAGUGUUCAGGAUUUUUAAGGCUUUCUGACUUCCAUGUUUCCAUGCUGUUGAUUCCCGCUCCAACACACUUUCCAUGAGCUCUCAGAAAACAUGGCAGUUGAUCUGGCAAGGUUAGCAUACCGUGUUCCUCCGUCAAGCAGCAUCCGCAGACCCUUGGUAUGCUUCUGCCAAUCUCUCCAGACUCUUAUGCAAUCUGGCAUGCACCUGCCCGCCAAUUCCCACCCUCCCAGCCCAGGGUAAGAUGCUAAGCCAAGUUGGAGUUUAAAGCAGCUUCUGAGAAGAGCAUUCUCUUGCCCAGCCUUACCGUAAUUCCUCUCGUAUCUGAUAAAGGGGAUACUCUCAGAAGGUACAUCUUUUCUAUCUGCCUUUUAGGCACACGUUUCAUCAAGAAAACUAACAUGUAACACAAUACUCCAUGACAUUUUCUCUCUUCUAUGCAACCACAUACACAUGCAACAUUCGCCUCACAGAUUCAAAUGUAAAGAAAUAUAUUUUAACUUGUGAAAUGACAUUAGAAUAGAGGAAGAGAAAGAAAAAAACAAUGAAAAGCAGGGUCACCUUACGUUGCUAACGACAAGUCAAAAGGCAGACCCCUUCAUCCAACAUCUAACUUAUAACAAGCGUGGAGGGAAAAGGGGCUCCAUAUGCAAUGCUGGCAAAUACAGGACUGGGGUAACACAUAGUUCAGCAUACAAUGAUGAUAACCGCAAAUGGGAAAUUAGACCUUCGCAAUGCCCAAACCUAGAGAAUGGGAAAAAUUCAAUAGUUUUAAUUUAGUUCUGCCAUAUUUGAUUUAUGUAAAAGCUUGAUGUUGGCUUGGUAUCUGGAAAUGUGUCCCUCUUCAAAUAGUUUUAGCAUUAAUAAUUUGCAGAUUGAAAUCUGCGGUUAAAUACAUCUUUAAGAGGGUAUUUGCAGCUAGCAAAAAUGUGCACAAUGCUACAUCACAACUGCUGGAAACAGACUGAGCCAUAGAAGAGAUUUCCAAGGAUGUCAAUGAAAGCCAAGAAACAAGAGAACCCCAGAUGAAGCCGAGAGCCAAGACACCAUUUUUAAUACAAAGCUCAGCCUCCCUUUGCCUAUGUGCAUUUUCAUCUUAAAACAAAGAUAGAAUUAUUUCUUACUGGCCAAAGAGUGACCUUCCUACAAAGAAAUAACUGAUUGAAAAAAGGGUAAUCAACAUUAAUAGGAAAAAAAUAAGGCUAAAUACGAAGUAACAGGCACGCAAAGAAAACAUGGAAGAAUUCGUGUUGCACAAAGGCAAGUUCCAAACAGUGUUUUCUGCAUUUCCAUGGAAAACCUCAUGUUAGGGAAAUGAUUUCUGGGCCUUCAAUUUGGAAACUAAAAGAGGCCUCCUUGGAGCCAGAUAAAUAACAACAUCACCAUGAUGUUAUAAAAUCACAAUGCAUUUUUUUCCUCUAAAAUAUCUCAAAACGCCUCCCAGACAUCUCUG